ACAAUGCUGGUUCAGUGGUAGAAUUCUCACCUUCCAUGUGGGAGACCCGGGUUCAAUUCCCAGCCAAUGCA
rnacentral:tRNA from 1 species